AAACAAUCUUUUGCACCCUUUUGUGCACUGAUUUUUAUAUACCCCACGGUGUUAAUUUUUGCAUGUCUUGCCUUUGACUUCUAGGGAGUCGAAUGAAAGAAUACAACUUUCAACAACGGAUCUCUUGGCUUUCGCAUCGAUGAAGAACGCCGCGAACGUGCGAAACGUAAUGUGAAUUGCAGAAUUCAGUGAAUCAUCGAAUCUUUGAACGCAUCUUGUGCCCCUUGGUAUUCCGAGGGGCAUGCCUGUUUGAGUGUCGUGAAACUCUCUCGAGUGCCACACUUUUGCCCCCCAUGGGGACGGAAGUGUGGCACUCGGAUUUGGAUGUCUGCCGAUCUUGUGGCUCGGCUCAUCCCAAAAUGCAGUCAGCUUCGGGUUUCUUGACUCCCACCCUCUCUCCCUCUUGGUGUGAUAAAAGGAAAACAGAUUCCGAUCGCCGGGGGAAAGGGAGAGAAAGGGGGCUGGGUCGAAAACCUGGGCUCCUAACUGUCAUCUCUGAA
rnacentral:sRNA from 1 species